UUGUAUCAAACAAAUUCCCACUGUCACAUGUCUGAUUCACAGCAGUUUUCAGCUGCCUCCUCCGUGAAAAAGUUAACCAUUUACUGUUUUGGUUGAGUUUGUCUGACCUUUGCUUAACUCUGUGUGUGUGUGUGCGCGCCUCCUCUCAUAUCUUAGUCUGCACAGGACCAUAGAGGUCCAAAGGGCCCGAAUAGAGGAGCUGAUGUGCUCUCUGUCCACUGCUCCGGCUGCUCCCGUGGGUCCCUCAGAUUCCAACAGAUCCCAGACCAACUCCACCUCUCCCUUCUCCUGCCUCCCCUCCGUCUCUCUCGCCACCUCCUCCCCCUACCUCCCCUCUCCCCCAGCCAGUGUCUCCCCCAGUGUGUCCUCCUUAUACAGUUCUGGGAGGGGCAGCCUGUGCUCUAACACCACACCCCCCUGCCUCCCUCCUCUGGUCCCCCUUCACAACCUCACCCCUCAGAGGAGACAGACAGCAGUUCUGCCCUGUGUGAAAGAGUAUGAGAAGGAGGAUCCGGGAGAAAAGGAGAGGAGAGGAAAGGAAGGCAGGAGAGGAGAUGAGAGGGUGAAGAAGAGGGGGGAGAAAGGAGACAAGAAGACAACAGUCUUACUCUACCCUCUGUAGAGAAAGCUCUGGGAUCACAACCCUUACCCAUCAUGCCUCACUCCUCCCAUAGUGACAGCAUUCCCAGAGAAAGAGUCAGGAGGAGGGAGAAGGGCAACCUGUCGUCUGAGCAGGGUGGACAGACGUCGGACCGAAAACACACGCUGAAGGCUGGACCUCAUUAUCAUACUUCACAAUGGACACAUGAGGAUGUCACAGCCUUUAUGAUGAGCUGUUUUUGUGGUAGUUUGUUUUUGGUCAUUGAUAUUGUUGUUGUUUGUGAGCAGAAAAGAGAGAAUGUCCUAAGGAGAAGUGCCUCAUGUGGACCUCUGAGGGGAGAGAUGGAGGAGAGGUGGUGUCUGUCCCCAGACUGUCCUGACUCCUCGUCCACAGUCCAAGCAGCAGGAGGGCUGGACCCCAGGGCAUUAACUACCAGGAAGAAGCACCACCUGUGUGUGAAUGACCGUGUAGUGCUGGAGGGGAG